rnacentral:rRNA from 1 species
AACGAACGCUGGCGGCAGGCUUAACACAUGCAAGUCGAGCGGGCCCGCAAGGGUCAGCGGCGGACGGGUUAGUAACGCGUGGGAACGUGCCUUUUGCUUCGGAAUAGCCCUGGGAAACUGGGGGUAAUACCGGAUGUGCCCUGAGGGGGAAAGAUUUAUCGGCAAGAGAUCGGCCCGCGUUGGAUUAGGUAGUUGGAGGGGUAACGGCCCACCAAGCCGACGAUCCAUAGCUGGUUUGAGAGGAUGAUCAGCAACACUGGGACUGAGACACGGCCCAGACUCCUACGGGAGGCAGCAGUGGGGAAUCUUAGACAAUGGGCGCAAGCCUGAUCUAGCCAUGCCGCGUGGGUGAUGAAAGCCUUAGGGUCGUAAAGCCCUUUCGCCGGGGAAGAUAAUGACGGUACCCGGUAAAGAAACCCCGGCUAACUCCGUGCCAGCCGCCGCGGUAA